AGUGGAUGGACAUGUAAAUGAACGCGAAGUCAUGCGGACUGCAAUUCAAGCUGACCACAGCUCAGGGUGAAUUCGUGUCACCCCUGUUACUGUGGCAAAUGGGCGCACCAUUAGAUUAGCUGCAAUUGGCAUUAGUAACUCUGGAGAAGCUUUUGCAAACUCAUCUUCUCUUUAUUUGAGGUGGGAACUUAUCAGUUGUAAUGAGAUGGCUAAUUGGGAUGAUGCUGAUAAUUUAGAGAGGUCGGAGCACAGUUGGGAGAGGUUAUAGAGCUUGAAAAACUAGUCAGGCCUGUGUACAGUUCAUGCUACUGCCAUUGGUUUCAGGGAUAACAUGGGUGGUCAUUAGUCUGUUCCAUUGCUUGAUAGUCCAGAGAAUGUUCUUGCAGAUGCAAUUCGUAUACAGCUAGUUUCUACUCUAAUGGUCAGCCCAGAGUUCAAUCUGGUGUUUUUCAAUCCCAAUGCUAAGAGAAAUACCGGCUAAAUCACAAUAAUGUCUACCUCCUUGGAAGGUUGUUUGCUCAAAGAUACCUUAGAACGCUGGGAAUCACAGGCUCAUCCAUUAUGUAGCUUUGCGCAAAGAUCUUCAAGUUAAUUUGGGAACUUUUGGCUCUUUAUAUCGAUUGGCCUUCUCGUCCUUCGUUUUUUGAGUUUCUUGCUAGGGCUUAAAGUUUUUUCUUUCUCUGCAGGUAAAUUAUAACGCCAAAGGGUUUUGGCGAACGAGACAAUUGUUCUUUAAUCCAUCAGAUCAAACUCCUUGCACUGCUCCUACCGAUGACAGUCAACAACUCCCUUCUCUCCUCCCUCCCUCUUACCAAGCUCACUGAGGUUUUGGUUGAUGUACAUGCAGACCCCAACUUUCUGGUGGCAUAUGGAUCAAUUAGUCUGUAACAGGAAUGGUUCUCGAUUCAAUUUUUGUCAUGUUGGGAUCAUAGUUAGUGUCGAAUUUUGUAAAUCUGGAGGAAUUCUAGGCUAUUUAUUACAAAAGCUUUGAACAAUUGGUAGAAGAAAUAAAAGCUUUGAACAAUUCUAGGCUGUUCUAGUCAUGGUGCAAGGUCUGUCACUCAGUACUUUCACUGCGUCACGUAGUGGUGGGCUGUGUGGAUCGAUGCCUUCGUGGAGGAAGCAUUUCAAAUUGAUGGGGAAACCCGGAUAAGCUCUGGUAUUGAAAGGCAUGGUAGCUGCCACCUGUGCCAUCAAAGCUUGGUCUUUGGAGGUAACCGGGGAUAUGUCAAGAGUCUCGAGACAAAGGAGCGUGAGGGUGGAACCUGGGUGGCUGUAUAAAGGGGGUGAUCAGGGAAGCUCCGAGCGAAGGGAGAGUGCUAAUGAGGAUAUUCUGAUAUUCAUUUUCCUGCUCGACCUGGCAACUCGAGUACAUGUUUGAUAGGGAUCAUUUUAUAGUUUUCAUAUUGUAGUAGGUUAAGUGGUACAGAAUAUCUCUCAAUUUCUCUCGACUUUGUUAGUCUAACAAGCAUUUGCCUUUUUUUGGGGUGCAUUGGCGAGAAGAGUCUAUCAGUGCAGCCUUGGUCAAGUUUACUUGAUGUGGCGAUGAUUCCAAAUCAAAUAGAGAUGGACUCCAGCACAGUUAAUAACUUGAGGCAAUUACUCGUGAACAUCUCACACUGAUUAUUUGUUCAUACACAAGCAGAUAGCAUGGUGUUGCUGAA